GACGAACGCUGGCUGCGUGCUUAACACAUGCAAGUCGAACGAUGAAAGUGGAGCUUGCUCCGCUGGAUUAGUGGCGAACGGGUGAGUAACACGUGGGCAACCUGCCCCAGACUCUGGGAUAACUCCUCGAAAGAGGUGCUAAUACCGGAUACGAACUCCUUGGGCAUCCUUGGAGUUGGAAAGUUUUUCGGUCUGGGAUGGGCCCGCGGCCUAUCAGCUUGUUGGUGGGGUAGUGGCCCACCAAGGCGACGACGGGUAGCCGGCCUGAGAGGGCGACCGGCCACACUGGGACUGAGACACGGCCCAGACGCCUACGGGAGGCAGCAGUGGAGAAUAUUGCUCAAUGGGCGAAAGCCUGACGCAGCGACGCCGCGUGAGGGAUGACGGCCUUCGGGUUGUAAACCUCUUUCAGCAGGGAAGAAGCGAAAGUGACGGUACCUGCAGAAGAAGCACCGGCUAACUACGUGCCAGCAGCCGCCGUAA
rnacentral:rRNA from 1 species